rnacentral:rRNA from 1 species
CCCCAGACUCCUACGGGAGGCAGCAGUGGGGAAUAUUGCACAAUGGGGGAAACCCUGAUGCAGCGACGCCGCGUGAGCGAUGAAGUAUUUCGGUAUGUAAAGCUCUAUCAGCAGGGAAGAAAAUGACGGUACCUGAAGAAGAAGCCCCGGCUAACUACGUGCCAGCAGCCGCGGUAAUACGUAGGGGGCAAGCGUUAUCCGGAUUUACUGGGUGUAAAGGGGGCGCAGACGGCGAUGCAAGCCAGGAGUGAAAGCCCGGGGCCCAACCCCGGGACUGCUCUGGAAACUGUACGGCUGGAGUGCAGGAGAGGUAAGUGGAAUUCCUAGUGUAGCGGUGAAAUGCGUAGAUAUUAGGAGGAACACCAGUGGCGAAGGCGGCUUACUGGACUGUAACUGACGUUGAGGCUCGAAAGCGUGGGGAGCAAACAGGAUUAGAUACCCGUGUA